UACAGAGGUCUCAAGCGUUGUUCGGAUUCAUUGGGCGUAAAGGGUGCGUAGGCGGCGCGGGUAAGUCGGGGUGUGAAAUCGUCGGGGCUUAACUCCGAAACUGCAUUCGUAUACUGCCGUGCUUGAGGACUGGAGAGGAGACUGGAAUUUACGGUGUAGCGGUGAAAUGCGUAGAUAUCGUAAGGAAGACCAGUGGCGAAGGCGGGU
rnacentral:rRNA from 1 species